rnacentral:rRNA from 1 species
UACCAGCACCCCGAGUGGUCGGGACGUUUAUUGAGCCUAAAGCAUCCGUAGCCGGUUCUACAAGUCUUCCGUUAAAUCCAACUGCUUAACAGGUGGGCUGCGGAAGAUACUAUAGAGCUAGGAGGCGGGAGAGGCAAGCGGUACUCGAUGGGUAGGGGUAAAAUCCGUUGAUCCAUUGAAGACCACCAGUGGCGAAGGCGGCUUGCCAGAACGCGCUCGACGGUGAGGGAUGAAAGCUGGGGGAGCAAACCGG